CCUAACACAUGCAAGUCGAGCGGAUGACRGGAGCUUGCUCCUGGAUUCAGCGGCGGACGGGUGAGUAAUGCCUAGGAAUCUGCCUGGUAGUGGGGGACAACGUUUCGAAAGGAACGCUAAUACCGCAUACGUCCUACGGGAGAAAGCAGGGGACCUUCGGGCCUUGCGCUAUCAGAUGAGCCUAGGUCGGAUUAGCUUGUUGGUGAGGUAAUGGCUCACCAAGGCGACGAUCCGUAACUGGUCUGAGAGGAUGAUCAGUCACACUGGAACUGAGACACGGUCCAGACUCCUACGGGAGGCAGCAGUGGGGAAUAUUGGACAAUGGGCGAAAGCCUGAUCCAGCCAUGCCGCGUGUGUGAAGAAGGUCUUCGGAUUGUAAAGCACUUUAAGUUGGGAGGAAGGGUUGUAGAUUAAUACUCUGCAAUUUUGACGUUACCGACAGAAUAAGCACCGGCUAACUCUGUGCCAGCAGCCGCGGUAAUACAGAGGGUGCAAGCGUUAAUCGGAAUUACUGGGCGUAAAGCGCGCGUAGGUGGUUUGUUAAGUUGGAUGUGAAAGCCCCGGGCUCAACCUGGGAACUGCAUCCAAAACUGGCAAGCUAGAGUACGGUAGAGGGUGGUGGAAUUUCCUGUGUAGCGGUGAAAUGCGUAGAUAUAGGAAGGAACACCAGUGGCGAAGGCGACCACCUGGACUGAUACUGACACUGAGGUGCGAAAGCGUGGGGAGCAAACAGGAUUAGAUACCCUGGUAGUCCACGCCGUAAACGAUGUCAACUAGCCGUUGGAAUCCUUGAGAUUUUAGUGGCGCAGCUAACGCAUUAAGUGACCGC
rnacentral:rRNA from 1 species